rnacentral:rRNA from 1 species
UACGGAGGAUGCGAGCGUUAUCCGGAUUUAUUGGGUUUAAAGGGUGCGUAGGCGGGAUGCCAAGUCAGCGGUAAAAAUGCGGUGCUCAACGCCGUCGAGCCGUUGAAACUGGCGUUCUUGAGUGGGCGAAAAGUAUGCGGAAUGCGUGGUGUAGCGGUGAAAUGCAUAGAUAUCACGCAGAACUCCGAUUGCGAAGGCAGCAUACCGGCGCCCUACUGACGCUGAGGCACGAAAGCGUGGGUAUCGAACAGG